CUAUAACACAGGUUAUGAUUUUAAAAGCUUAUAUGAAAAUAUUGAACACAUAUAUUAAAUAAAUAAAUAAAUAUGUAGAAAUUUAAUAAUUCCUACUUAAACCUGAAAAGGGCAUAUUUCACUAGCUUCCUAUGAUAAUGCUCAUCUUUAUACACAGUCUCGUAGAAAACCAUAGUUUUAAAUAUGAAGUCACCAUGCUAUGCCGAUCCACAGAUGGAUUAUCUGAAUAAAUAUGUCUGUCACUGUGAUUUGUGCACUUUAAUUCUAAAAGGGGUUGACCCUGUAAAAAUAUUACUGUCAUUAGUAAACUUCGCUUGCAGUUGGGCCUGACCCUUUAAAAAUGUCACUGUGAUUAAACACGCAACUGCCGUGCAUUUAUAAGCCACUAAGAAAAAACGAUCCAUAUGGUAAAUCACUUAAUUAUGUCAUUAAUAUACUCUAGUCAAAGACAAACAGACCACUGAAGAUUUCACUGUGAUUAGCAAGUAUCAGUCCUUCAAUAGACUUUAUCCUUACACAAUGAAAAUACACAUUGGCUCAAGUAUCAAUGGAUGGCCCCGAUUUACUCAAAGCAUUAAUUGACUUAAUAUGGAAUAUCUUUAGGUUCUGUACAUUGAAGUUAUGGUAGUUAAUAGCUGAAUAUCAUUAUAUUAUAUAAGAAGAUCCAUUAUUGUUUUAAAAAGUCCAUUCAUCUUCCAUACAUUUACAUACGAUUUAAGAUUUAUCUAUUUCAUUAAUAUUCCCAUGACAUUAUAUUUCCCUAACAAUAUCCCCUAAUUAAUAAUUGAGAGUAUAAAUGUAGUUCUGAAUUACUGGAGAAGUAAUUAAAGGAAUAUUCUGGGCACUAAAACAAGAUCAAUUGGAAUUAAGUUGUUAUGGUGGGAGGAGGUCCCCAGGUGCAGGCUUACCUCAAGGGGUUAAACUAUUAACGAACAGUUUAACUCCAAAAUGUUGAAUGUACCCGCCCCCCCGGUCAUCCACUACAGUCCGAUGCUUGAAUCAGGAAGCCUCAUACUGGGAGCCAUUGAGAGACACUGAAAGACAGAAGAGUCAGCUGAUGCUCUCAGCCAAUCAGUAGCUCGCCAUUCGUAAAACAGCUUGAGAAAAAUAUGUAAAUUUUUCAAGUCGUUAUGUGAGAGCUACUGAUAGGCUAAAAAUAUCAGCUGACUCUCUCAGCCUAUCGGCAACUGCCAGUGUGAGGCUUAAUAAUUCAAACCUCGGACUGCAUUGGAUGUAGAUGGGCAGCGCAAUCAAGUGCCGGAUUCAAGACACUGGGCUUAAACUGUUUGUCACUUGGUUUAACUCCUUGAGGUAAGCCCGAGCCCAGCUACUCUACUCACACCAUAACAACUUAAUUUUGAUGAAGUUGUUAUGGUGCCCAGAGUGUUCCAUUAACAAUUCUUGAGGAGAGACGGUGCACACUCAGAGCUGUCUGGGGAUAUUUGUGAAUGCCCUCUACACUUCUCUAAUUUUCUAAAAUAUUGGUAGAAAAUAGAAAGAAAAAAAAAGUUUGUAUUUUGCAUGCAGUACCACAUAUGGCCACUGGUGGUAUGAAAGAUACAAUUUCAAUCACUAUAUAUUUUCCUAUGGUCUUAUACACAGCCAAAGUAAUUAGUGCUAGAGAUUUAUAUCUAACGAGUUAAUCAAGUUAUCUAGGGAUUGUCUGUGCAUGUAAAUUAAAAUCAUCUUUGUAGAGGCUGGCAUCGAUUACUUCAAAGCACAAGACAGCCGAAAAAUAUCACUAAUAUGCAUGUACAGUGCAUGGUAAACAGUACACGUUGCAAGAAUAGAGAGGUUAACCAAGUCAUGCCAGCCCCUUCAGGCCAUAUGUGGAACUGCACGAUUAACACAUGGCAGUUCCAAAAAAAGGGCAAGCUUGCCAGUGUUCCCUUUAAUUUUUACAAUAAAAAUAGGAAAUACAAUUGCAGUUCUUUUCUUCUCUACAGCACAAGAAAACUGAUUAUUUACCUGACACGUUUGUAACCGCUAGCAUUUUAAAAUUACUAAACAAGGUGAGUGGGCAACAUUUCGUACCUGCAAUCUUGCCAAGGCACAUGUCUCAAUAUAGCAGCUCAGAAACCGAUAGGACAUACACAAUACAUCAAAGUGUAACAAAUGAUCCAAUAGUCCUAUAUUUAAGGAUAGGUUAGUAGCACACCACCUGUAGACCCACCCAUUGUGCCCUGCUUUCAUUCUUCCUAGCAAAGGAGGCAUGGCUUCAUGUAUUCUUACAGGUUAUUAUCAUGGUUCUAGUAUUAGGAGGCUAUAAUUGCAGUCACUGCAGGCAUUUUCAAAAGUUUCGACAAGUCGAGCAUGAUUUCACCACCCCUCUAAGUUUAGGAGGUCAUAUGUGAGAAUGUGUGCUAGGCUGACAUGCCCCCACUUUCUGCUGGGCCCAUUGUGUCACCAGCUAUCCUUCAGCCCAUCCCAUCAAUGUCUCAACGGGAGGAACUAUUUUUGUAAUUUGAAUAUUUCAGCAUAACUUUUACUAUUCAAGACAUUUACUUUUAUCUCCCAAUUCCCAAUAUUUCAGUGUUUAGUCGUUCAACCGUAUAAUAGUAACUUCUCACAAAAUGUUAUAUUUCUGUUGUUUGUCACAGAAAGGGGAGAGUGUUUUGUUUUGUUUUUUUUUCCUCCAAAGUGUGGUUUAUUUACUAAGGCUUCAAUGUAAUCAGUAUUCCAAAUGAUUUAGAAAACAUUUGAGAUGACUUAUCAACAAAAGUCACAAAAGUCUACUGGAAUUUUUGUGGAUAAAUCAUUUUUAAAGUGUUUCUAACAGUACAGAAUAAUUUGGAAGGCUUAUUAAACUGAGGCCUAAACGGACAUUUUUGAGAACUGAAAUGGGAAUUGCGUUGGCCAAAAUGGUAAAAAUAGGAAACUAAUGUUUCAGUUGGUGAUAUUUUGACUCAAAAAUGUCCAAUUUCCAUAUCAAAUCUCCGGUUUAGUGAGUAGACCACAAUAGUAUCACUAAUUUGUUUUCUUGUUGGCUGAAAUGUGUAAUGGAAUCCUAAAGUUUGUUUUACGAGACAACAUUCACUGUUCCUUGAUACAGCCAAAUACUUGUGAAAUACAAACUUGCAUGAAUCAGUUUGCUUGUCUCUAUUUGUGAAGAAACAAGGAACUGUUGUAUACACAGAAUUGUGAAUAUUUCUAUUUCUUUUAAUUAGAAAAGGUUCAAA